CUUGCAGCUACAACAACCCAGAGCUUGCUGUUAAAUAUUUAUCACUCAUUUUAAAGUAAACUAUUCUGCCAAAGAUACAUCAAACUUUGUGUUGAGAUGUCAGCCACCAGAGCUUUAUAUCACUGGCUCUCAAUAAGAAGGGUGUGAAGGGAAAUGGACAGGACUUCAGUGACACCAGAGCCACAUCUGACACCUGAUAAGGAGCUCGAGUGCAGCAUGGACACCGGCAGGCGUGGAGCCAAAGACACUCCAUGGCGGCACAUUCGUGAUGAGCGCUGAGAGUGCUGAGAGAGAGAGUCAAUGCAGAGAUGAGCACUACUGCUGCAGCAAAGAGGGUCAGUAAGUUUACCGGCAAAGGAGGGAGGGAAGGAUUUCUGCUUCACACAGAGGAGAAAUGAAAGUAAAGAUAAAACAAGAAGCAAGGGAUAUCUCCCAGAGGGAGCAGGUUUAUUUCAAAACAGUCCCCUGCUAUAACUUCUUAAAAUAUAUUACAAGUUUGCUGUUGAUUGUGAUGAAGAAAUGAAUGUAAUCACAUCUGCGAGUUUAAGCAUCUUUAUCCUUUGUGAACCUAUAUUAAGGUUAUUUUUCUGUUCAUGCUAAUGUAAUAUCUACAUCUGUUAACAUUUCUGUUAACUACAAACACCAGCUGUAGCACUACAUGAUGGUCACUUAAUGGAAAUCAAUGAGGGAAGGCUGAAAAACAGAAGGAUUAAUCACAGCGUAUGACAGUAUGCAGUACUUUUAGCCUAGUUAACCUAUUUA